GAUGCAAUGCCAGGUCUAAGAUCAUCAGAAAAGGUAAGUUACUUAAUUUUUCCAUUGAAAAAAUGGGAAUUGAGCUUGAAAUUGUUCAAGCUCCUUCCUCCUCUUGUUUUGCCUUGCACUUAACACCUUCAGAACUGAAGAUGAGGACCAUGCAGGCCUGCAGAGGACUCAGGUGUCCUCUGUGUACCCCUCCUCCAUCCCCAGGUGGGUUCUCCUGUGCCAGGUGAUGUUUGGGUUCAGCAGGUGCUGUCACUGCCUCCAGCCCAGCAGGGACAUGCACAGGGCAAGUCCCUUGUCCACAGCAGGGCUCAGGCCAUCCAAGCGAGCUGCCUAUCAGCAAUGACUUUUACUUAACCUAGGAGGCCCCCACAUCCCCUUUAAGCUGUUUUCAACCGUGUCUCUGAGUGUGUAAUGUGCUCCGUAAACAAAUAACCUGUGUUUUUGUAACUGGGUCAGCAGGAGCUGAGUUGUACUUCCAGCACAGGACACGGGGAGGAAGUGGUGGGACCAGGAGCAGAAGGGGAGACAGCAGCAGCCUCAGACCCAGGGGACUGUGAGGAAGCAAAAUAGGGAUUGCUGCCAGAACAAAUGCAGAGCCCUUCGGGAAACCAUCCCAAGGUUGGAGAACAAGGAGGGACGGGAAGGCACAAGUAAUGGGAGACCUUCAUGGGAGCUGUUUGUCAUGGGGCAGGUAGCUCCAGCAAGGCUCUGCCCCUACUUCCAGGUGGCACAUUGCCGUCUUGCUCUGUUAUCGUACCUCUGAGGAGGUUGCCUCCAGACACUGAACCCAGAGCCUCUGGAAAGUAAAAAGCAUGAUGAAGUAUUGCCAAAAUGAGUGGGAAAAAAAAAGGUGCAUUUGCCUGAAAAUAACAGCAACUUUGUACAUCUCCAUAUGUGGUCCAACUUUGGGGCUGGAAUGAGGAUCCUCAGAAGUAUUUAUGUGGCGAAAGGUCCAUGAGGUCUCAUCAAGGCACAGUGUUGUGUUAGAGAGAGCAACAUCUGGGAAAAUUCCUGGGCCUGUUUCCUCCCAGGUUGAUGUGCCAGAGUUUAUGGCACUCUGACUUGUUUUUUAAAUCUUACCUUUCGGAUUUAAAUCAUCACUAAAUUUAACUGUGAUUAAAAAAAAAAGGCACAUCUCAACUUCUAUUUACUUAAAAAUGAAUAAAAAAAAGUCUUAUUUUCACUCUUUGAUUUCUCUAGGAACUUUAGUGUAAUUAGUCUUUUUUUUAUUCUACAAAUGACUGUGCUCAGCAUUGUUUUGGAAUAGUUAUUAGUAAACUGCAGUUUCAAAACCUGCAGGCGGCACCCAAGAGCACUAAAUAUGAUUUCUCCAAGCUGUCUAUUUUUAUCGGCCAGAUUCUGAUCUCAGUCACUUUACGAAGCUUUGUUGGCUGAUGUAGAUGAGAAUCUGGUCCUUUAUUUUAGUAAAAUGGGGCUUCACUGAUUUGCAGUUGGAAAAAAAAAUAAAAAAAUCUGUCACUGCUUCUUUUUCCCUAGAGUUGACGACUUCAUUUUGCUGUUCAGCGGUCCAUGGAAGGCUUUUUGGGUGCUGGCUUUAGGAGCGGGUAUGGUAAUAGAGACCUCUCGUAAUGAGCCGGGGAGCUGCGGAGUCUCACCCGCAUUGACAGGAGAAAGAGAAAUGGCUCACGGGCGAGCUGAAGCAAAAUGUGCAGUUACAGGGAUACAAUAGCGAUACAGCAGCUAAGAUAUCCUGCCAAAACGCUGUCUAAGUAGCCAUUAAUGGACAUCUGAGUUUUGUUAAAUAAUUAAUGUGUCUGUUGUGUUUUUUUCUUAUAGAUCUUUCAAGGAAUUUAGUUUCUAUUCCUUUGCAUUUAGCUUCUGUUCCCUGAAUUGCUGCUUUUGAUCCUGUCUUCUUAAGCAUUUAUAGACACUGGCUGUAAGGCCGUUUUCUAACAGUAGCUCAUGUCUGUUAUGGCCAGAAACCAUUUAGCCCCAGUUUGUAAGGAGGAUACUUUGUUCUCAUGGUGUAGUUAGGAAACUGAGGCAUAGCCCACUGAAGUGGAUUUGCCACCGAUUUGUAAAAUAGGCAAGAAUAAGUCUUGUCCUGUGAACAACAUAAAGAAAAACUUUAACAGAGCUUUAAAAACUACUGAACGAAAUAUCUGAAUCAGGGAGGUCUUGGUAAUACUUUUUUGUCCAUCUCUGCUUCUGAGAAAUGCCUGUUCUGAUAUCGUCCAUACAGAAAACACCGGCAGGUUUCACUGGCUUGCAGUCUCACUUUGCAAAAUCCUGCGAAGCAGAAAUCUCAGAUAACCGAUGGAGUGUGGAAGUGCUGAUGUGUCCUGGAUAACUGGACCCCACAGUUUCGCUGCCCUGAUAACACAUCAAAAGGAACCAGAACUCCUUAUCCUCAGGUCCCCAGUACAUACUAUUCGCCAGACAAUUCUCCCAUCACAACCAUCUCUGGUGGUUUCCUACCCUGCCAGAAGUCAAUCAAUCUGUCAUUGAACAUGGAGCUGUGAAAGGAAGAUGCGAUACUACACUGCAUGCAAAAAAAAUAUGUCCUCUGACGUUGAGCACGGCAUAUCCCAUUUGUAAGUCUGCAUACCUGAAGAUUAGCUACUUAUGUGAGUCCUGCAAGAAACAGGAAAGAAUAAGACGUAAGGUUAUGCCUCUGGUGGGAAAGGCUGCAGCACUCUCCAGAAGGGUUGAUCCAUCACACUAAGUACUGCUGUCUGCCCCUCAAGUAUUAGGCUCCUUGGGCAGAGUGUGAUUUGACAUUCAGUGUUACAACAGUCAUUACUCCAAAGAAGCCCACAAUUUGGGACCGAACAAGUGAUGGUAAUAGGUACUGAAUCCACACAACAAAUUGGACAGACAAAAGGGGUCACAUUCUGAGAAGUUACAUUUAACUCUGCUCACCUAAGCUGCAUUUGGAAAGCAGGCAG